CACACAACAGCCUUUAAACCACCCUGAGAAGAGCAUACAAGGACUCUAAGGACGUAACGAGAAAACUCGUGAUAUAGAAGAUAGGCGCAUAACAGAAGACGAACAAGGAUGGAUAGGGUUUGAAGGGUUUUAAGGUUGCAGAUAUACGGAGACUGUCUUGAAAAAAUAUGUCGAUUGUCUUACCACGUCCACGAUGAAGAUGAAGGAUAUUAGGAUUCUUACUGCACGAUUAAAACGUAUCUCCAGAAUUCAACUGCAACCUCGCGAAAACCGGAAGGUAAACCUCAGAGACGACUGUACCAGAAAUCAAGAUGGAGAGAAUUGUAAUCCAGUAUUGUGUACCAAAAUUAAAAAUCUCUGCUGGUGUACCGAGUAUAGUAACGCCGGAAAUGAAACUGUGUGAUACAAAUAAUAAAAAUUGUAAUUGAAAGUAUCGAUAUCAUAAAUAAACAGGAAUAGGAAACUCA